rnacentral:rRNA from 1 species
AGUGAACGCUGGCGGUAGGCCUAACACAUGCAAGUCGAACGGCAGCACAGUAAGAGUUUGCUCUUACGGGUGGCGAGUGGCGGACGGGUGAGGAAUACAUCGGAAUCUACUUUUUCGUGGGGGAUAACGUAGGGAAACUUACGCUAAUACCGCAUACGACCUACGGGUGAAAGCAGGGGAUCUUCGGACCUUGCGCGAUUGAAUGAGCCGAUGUCGGAUUAGCUAGUUGGCGGGGUAAAGGCCCACCAAGGCGACGAUCCGUAGCUGGUCUGAGAGGAUGAUCAGCCACACUGGAACUGAGACACGGUCCAGACUCCUACGGGAGGCAGCAGUGGGGAAUAUUGGAUAAUGGGCGCAAGCCUGAUCCAGCCAUACCGCGUGGGUGAAGAAGGCCUUCGGGUUGUAAAGCCCUUUUGUUGGGAAAGAAAAGCAGCAGGUUAAUACCCCGCUGUUCUGACGGUACCCAAAGAAUAAGCACCGGCUAACUUCGUG